rnacentral:tRNA from 1 species
UCCCUGGUGGCUCAGAGGUUAAAGUGUCUGCCUCCAAUGCAGGAGGCCUAGGUUUGAUCCCUGGGUUGGGAA